rnacentral:rRNA from 1 species
UACAGAGGGUGCAAACGUUGUUCGGAAUUACUGGGCAUAAAGAGCACGUAGGUGGUUCGCUAAGUUACGUGUGAAAUCCCCCGGCUCAACCGGGGAAUUGCGCGUGAUACUGGCGGACUCGAGGCGGGUAGGGGUGAGUGGAAUGCCGAGUGUAGAGGUGAAAUUCGUAGAUAUUCGGCGGAACACCAGUGGCGAAGGCGACUCACUGGCCCGAUACUGACGCUGAGGCGCGAAAGCGUGGGUAGCAAACAGG